rnacentral:lncRNA from 1 species
UACAAGGGAGAGAAUGAAAGACCCAAGAGAAACUUGUGAUUUCCCUUUUGGGAAAACAUUAAUGGAUGCUUACAAUCUGUUUUCUUUUGUUUUGAUGUUACAACCAAUAAUACACUUUUAUGUCUAUAAAUAAAGACUAAAGUUGAAUAAAUCCAACAAACCCCUGAGCCUGCAGCUUGGAAUCUUGAUUCACAUUCAAGGCCAAGAUUUAUGAGUCACUUGCAGAGAAUAAGUUGAAGCUGCAAGAUUUGGGGGGAAAUUAUUCCACAUGGCGAUUAUUUGGGGGAGUGAUUAUGCAUGCACACCUGAUCACGGUGUCACCUGCUCCAGCUCGUCCGACAUGAUAAAACAUGGCAAUUUUCUCUAUUUCCCUUUGCUUGCACAACAGAAACUGAUGUGCACAACCUCACGCCAUUCAUUUUUAGAUGUGCCUUCUUGUCAGAGGCAUCCCUCUAUUCCCACUUGAGUGCUGACUUCUGGAGGCGUUGUGUGCUGAUUUAUGUAAAUGCCUUGAUGCUGAUUUAGAGGUCGAACCUGGACCUCAGCAGUGCACCACUUCAGGGGACACCAUUCUCACUGUGGUCUAUGGAAAUGGGGCUUCCCUAGAGCACCGUGUAGACUAGUGUGGAUAGUGUCCCUUAAAUCCCCAAGAAGAUGUUUCCUUUUCUUCAGGUCUGAGUUCAGGGUGACAUCCCAGCCCCAUCCCAUUAAGCCCAAGUGAAGACACAAUCCAGGCCUCUGUGUCUUCUGUUCCCUCCUUCAAUCCUUCUCUUUGCUCCUUCACUCUAGUCCCUGCCAGCAUAUUCCAUUGGCCAAAUCCACGCCGGAGCCAGGGUCAGCCUCCAUAGCUCAGGCUUUUCCCGAACCCGAAAAAACCCAGCUCAAAACUGGACAAAAUCGUGGUGAGUUAACCAUAAAAAUGAAUGAUGUGGUGAGCCUGAAUGAUUUGUUUGCCUCAGCUUUACGAUGCUGCAGUACUGGGGUUGAUGAAUAAAGCCUCCUGAAAACACAUAGAAUGUACCAGUAUCACCCAC